rnacentral:lncRNA from 10 species
UUAUCUUUUGUACUUUAUUGACUUUAUAUCAAUAAAUAUAAAUGGUACAUAGUACACAUUAAUUCUAUGUUCUCAGGCAUCCUUCCUUCUUAUGGAAGGGCUGUGAUCACUCUCUAAUCUGUGCUACAUUGACAAGGAACAGCCAGUGUCAGCUGAAGUAGAAGUUUUAUUUCCCAGGCUUCAUGAUGAUUUAGUUAUCUUUCUUUCAGAUAUACCUGAGAAUCUCUUGGAUGUCCCCACAAGGCUUUCGACUUACUCUGGGGUUUGCAAAACCUGGGCCCCAAGUUGCCCAGCGGGGAUGCAGCCCUGAGGAGGCAGCUAAGGGUCAUCUACAGGGAGCACCGCCCACCUCCUCCUGCAGGUUCCAGAAGUUUCCAUGUGAAAGGAAUGUCUCUCCCAACUCUGCCUCACCCAGUAACCUCCUCAUUUAAAAAGCAGUGACUUUGUAAUUUCCUAACUAUACCUCACUGAUUUCAAGGCACUGAAAAGCAGAAAAACCUCUUAGUCCAUGGAGAUGGGGGUG